CGUCGCUCCGAAACACAUACGACUCUCGACAACGGAUAUCUCGGCUCUCGCAUCGAUGAAGAACGUAGCGAAAUGCGAUACUUGGUGUGAAUUGCAGAAUCCCGUGAACCAUCGAGUCUUUGAACGCAAGUUGCGCCCGAAGCCAUCAGGCCGAGGGCACGUCUGCCUGGGCGUCACGCAUCGCGUUGCCCCUU
rnacentral:rRNA from 1 species